GCCGACCGCGACGGCCUCGAGGGCCGCCGCUCCGUAUGGCGCCCCCUCGCGGCACGCGGCGAGAGCGGAGGGCCGAAGUAAAUAAAUACCGCGCGUGGCGGAGAGCAGCCGUCGGGCGGGAGGAGGUGGGGAUGGCAGCGGAGGGACGGGCGUGGGCUGGUCAUCUUCCGGUAGCAGCCGCGUUGUGAGCGGUAGGAGUGACACUGCUGUGAAUGGAAGUUAGACCUGCAGGACCUUGCAGGCCAAAACCAGUGUCACCCUGGCACAAGGAGAGCCCACCUAAUGGCAUACUUUUUAAGAUCUCCAAACAAAUGCUGCCGCAGGAGUCUGCAUAUGGUUUGUGUCAUUGCCCCAGGACAAAAGAGACAUCCAGGAUUUGGAUAGAGUUUCUGCUGCUGUUCUUCCAAAGCCUCCAUUCCAGCUGCUCACAUCAGAAACAAAGCGAGGCCCUAACCCUUGGCAAUUCCUAGCAGCAGAAAGGGCCACCAGAGUUAGCGGAUGGAAGGUUGUGCCAUGUUUUAUGCCAAUAAAACAGCUAUUAAUGGCUUUGUGCUUCAUAUUCUUGUCUACCAUCCACGCAUACAGUUAUCCACCAUAUGUCGGGUGUUUUAUAAGGUGAGUGCUAGGAGCAGGAGGUGCAACACAGCUGCUUGUGUCCAUUCCCCCUCCAGGAGUGGGUGAGCAGCACCAGGCACAGGUUUGUAAGUACUUAAUGGAAGAAGGGUAGAUGCCAUUGGUAAGAGUGGUCUGGCAUAAACAGGAAUCCCAGACCUUCCCUUCAGUGUCUUUGGUCUGAGGUGUUUGUCUGGCGGUUGUUUUCUUUGUAUGUGUUUGAGAUCAAAGGAGAAUAUGGUACUUCAAACAAAAUGUGCAAGGGCCCACCCUUCCUGAAUUGCACUUUUGGUAAUGUGUUCAGUCCUGCUGCUGUAAUACUCCGCAGAAGGGCUUUUUCUUUCUUUUUUUUAAUAAACUCCACUCCUUUUUAAUAUAUGUCACAAGAGAAUUUUAAUAGAUGUUUUUGUAAGAUUACUUUACAGUCUCUGAUCCUACACUUCUUUCCACAUAGUCUGUAAGAGGAGCCAGCAGCUUUAACUCAUCAGAAGUUUGUGUGAUGUAUUACUUACAGUGGAUGUAGGUGCCAGAAGUGACCUGUAAACCUAAUACUAAAUUGGGACCACAAAAUUAAUUUCACUUAGAUUGUGGAGAUUAGACUAGAAAUAGAAUUCCUCUGGGAGCUGUGUAAACCUUGACAUUGAUUUAAUGUAAUUCUUUCCUUAAGAGGGUAACUUUAAAUUGUAUAACAAUACAUAGUUUUAACCAGCACAUAUUUCUAGCAAAUUGUGCAGCAAGACAAGUAUUAACAGGAACAUUCAGUGGUAUUUCUGAAUUUAAAGAUCAGUGUGUAGCUCUGUGGAUGCUGACAAGAGGGUCAGAUGCUAUACCCCACCCCCUCUGCCCCCCCACCUGAUCAGAUAGGUCAAGUUAUAAAGCCCAUGUGUCAUUGCCAAGCAUCUCCAUUCAGUCCAUAAAUUGUAAUUUAUAAUAUACAAAUUAUAUCCAAAUCACACUAAUUUACCCUGACUGGGGAGAAUUUGUUAACUUGGAUCCAGCAAUUAAAGGUCUGAUUAGCUCCAGAACAGAAAUGUUUAUUGUGUUACUGAAUGGCAAGUGAGUGUUUUAUGCCUUAAUUUAGACUGAAAUUAUUCUGAAUCAUUCAAAUAUUUAUUUUUGCUCUGGAUGACAGCAUAUUCUAUACUAAAAAGCAUAUUUUCUUCUUGAGAUGUAGAAAUAUUUUGUUGUUUUUAAAGGGAACAUGUAUAGGUCUCUUCAGGUUAUUGCCUGAGCAGGCUGUUUGUACAAGUCUGAUUUAACAUAUGCACUGUCUUUGCAUGAGAGCUCAUGCAUUAGAUUACAUUUGCAAGGGAGAAUUUUGAGUACUUAACCUUAAUUUCACCUAUUAAAACACUAAUUUUGAAUGUUAUACUUCAAGUAACUUGGAAUACCCUGACACCCUGUAAAAUAUUUGACAAUGUUUUAAGCAGUAAGAGUGCUCUGAAUGUUUGGUCAUCUCAAAUUUGCUUCAAAUUUUCUGGCAUCUGUUACUGACCAAUUCUUCUGUAUUAUUUAACAUUGUAUUGCCAUGGUCCUUUGCUAAGCAAGUAGGUGCAAAAGAAGUUCUAACAACUAUCUGACUGCAAUCAGAGUACAGCUGCACACCAGACCUUAAUCAUUUCAGUUAUUCUAAGUAACUGCUUACAGUAGUCUGCCUUCUGCAACACCUCAUUCAUUUGAGCCACUGUUAAACAUUCUCUUGUAUGAGAAGAGUUUUUAAAAUGAAUUACUUCUUCCAGACGUGGAAUAUGGUGAUAGCAGGUAGCCCUUGUGUUCUUCCUCCCUUCUGCAUGCUUAGGGCUAAUCUUCUGAUCUUGUUAGUUCCUUUUAAUCUCUAAAUUGUCUGUAUGUCCUCCCAAGACAGCUCUGCCCUUUCCUUUCCUUGAUGAUUUCAAGUUGUUUGUUCUUUCCAAGGUUAACUGUCAAGGGACAAGCUUUAAGAUCAUGCAUAUUUCCCCUACUGUAGUUAUUUGCAAGGAAAAGUAAGCUAUGAUGAAUGAGCAUCCACACUAAAAUAGAAAAUUGCAUACGAAAACCUACCACCCCCAAGGACCUGAAAGGGCUUUUGGCAGCUAAAAAAAUACGCGUGUUCUCCUAACUCAUGAUAAAUAAAGGGACAGGAAGUAAAUUUUGCAGAAAUACAGUUUGGAAAAUUAACACCUACGUUUAAAAUUAAAAAAAAAAAAAAAAAAAAAAAA